UACGUAGGGUGCGAGCGUUAAUCGGAAUUACUGGGCGUAAAGCGUGCGCAGGCGGUUGUGCAAGACAGAUGUGAAAUCCCCGGGCUCAACCUGGGAACUGCAUUUGCGACUGCACGGCUGGAGUGCGGCAGAGGGGGAUGGAAUUCCGCGUGUAGCAGUGAAAUGCGUAGAUAUGCGGAGGAGCACCGAUGGCGAAGGCAAUCCCCUGGGCCUGCACUGACGCUCAUGCACGAAAGCGUGGGGAGCAAACAGG
rnacentral:rRNA from 1 species